AUUGAACGCUGGCGGCAGGCUUAACACAUGCAAGUCGAGCGGGGGAAGGUAGCUUGCUACCGGACCUAGCGGCGGACGGGUGAGUAAUGCUUAGGAAUCUGCCUAUUAGUGGGGGACAACAUCUCGAAAGGGAUGCUAAUACCGCAUACGUCCUACGGGAGAAAGCAGGGGAUCUUCGGACCUUGCGCUAAUAGAUGAGCCUAAGUCGGAUUAGCUAGUUGGUGGGGUAAAGGCCUACCAAGGCGACGAUCUGUAGCGGGUCUGAGAGGAUGACCCGCCACACUGGGACUGAGACACGGCCCAGACUCCUACGGGAGGCAGCAGUGGGGAAUAUUGGACAAUGGGGGGAACCCUGAUCCAGCCAUGCCGCGUGUGUGAAGAAGGCCUUACGGUUGUAAAGCACUUUAAGCGAGGAGGAGGCUACUCUAGUUAAUACCUAGGGAUAGUGGACGUUACUCGCAGAAUAAGCACCGGCAAACUCUGUGCCAGCAGCCGCGGUAA
rnacentral:rRNA from 1 species